ACUGCCUGUUGAAUAUAUAGACAGGAAAGAGCGAACCUGGCGAAUUGAAACAUCUUAGUAGCCAGAGGAAAAGAAAUCAAAAGAGAUUCCCCGAGUAGUGGUGAGCGAAAGGGGAAGAGCCUAAACCAAGGGGUAUACCUCUUGGGGUAGUGGGACAGCAACAUCGAAUCCAGAGACUAGACGAAGCAGCUAAAUACUGCACCAGAGGGGGUGAAAGUCCUGUAGUCGAAAGUCAAAGGAUAGAAGCUGAAUCCCGAGUAGUACGGGGCACGAGAAAUCCCGUAUGAAUCAGCGAGGACCAUCUCGUAAGGCUAAAUACUACUGUGUGACCGAUAGAGAACAAGUACCGCGAGGGAAAGGUGAAAAGAACCCCG
rnacentral:rRNA from 1 species